UUACCUUGUAAUAUGUAAAAUCGUCGUUUUUAUUGUUUCACAAUGAACUCGGUGCGUCAAACCAGAAUUGCAGGCUCAUCAGCUUCGAGGGCAGACAAGGAGACAAAAGAGGCACCACUAAUUGCCGCUAUCGCGCGAGUGCGAUUCUUCACGAGCAUUUAUCACUGAAGGAAGUUUUGGGGUGUGCCUCCAGGCGAAAAGUUGAAAGAAGGGAUCCGGAAGACGAAACUGGCUGCCUCCUCAAGGUCUCUUUGUCUCUCUCCCUCUCAUUCGAAAAUGGCACUACGUGGAAAGAAGAGAGAGAGAUAAAAGGGAAAGGAGAGGGAAUGAAGGGAGAGAGAAGAAAAGGGGAGAGAGAGAGAGAGAGAGCCGGGAUUGGUAUCGAAGCGAUAUAUCUCGGGAUUGGCUUCGCAGUGGCGGAUAGUCUGCAUCGAAGCAACGAUAGGGGAAAGGGGUGCCACCUUGAUAAACGAGCCCAUAAAUAACAGUAACGUCUCCACCGAAAACUCGGCCGGGUAAAUGUAUAUCCAGAGCCAGCAGCAGCCAACGGCAGCGGUGGAACAGCAGCCAGCCAGCGGUUGAGGGAGUCGCAGACUCUUCGGGUGGUGGGGUAAUUUAAGAUCCUAUUGAGAUAUUUAUGGGAUCAUAAAGCGGAACUGGCUGCUUCUAUCGCCGGCAGCCAUGCGUGGAGCCGCGGUCCCGCGAUCCUCGGUAGUUUGUAUCUUUGUUUAUAACCGCCUUAGCCGCGCGCCGUGUUUCACUUUAUUUCGGUACGCUCGAUCAAGUAAGUUGGGAUCGUCGGGACAGUACAAACAGAAUUUAUUAGAAGACGAGUGGAUCUCGUGUAUUGACGUGAUGUACCAUUUCCACCUUGUUUUCGACCACUGAAGUUUAGACUAUGCACUUUGGCAUGCAAUUGGAUGUUUAUUCCAAUCACAUUGGAUGAAAGAUAGCAUAUGUUAAAUGCUCACAUCUUAUUUAUAAUAUAAACAAAAAACAAUUGAAAUAACAUGGCAAAAAGUCAAAAACAUAACAACGUAGUAUCGAGAAUUCAUUUUAUGCCAAUAAUAAAUAAUAAAUUAUGUUCUUCAUCGUGUAGAGUCAUGGCAACUGUCAAGUUGUUAUUUACUGGAGAUAUACUUUCAAUCGUGUAGAAAACAAAAAUUAUCGAUGAAAACAGGACAUUCCAGAAAUGGCGAAUUUUAAGGAUGUCGAAUCUCCGUCUAUCUUUCUCUCCAUUACCGUCCAAAGGAACCAUGCUUGUCGCAUCCAAACUGUGCCGAGGAAGCGCUUUACGGCAAUAAAGAGUGUUUGUCCGUGUGGGCUUCGUGUUGGUAACGAGCGGAUUAUACUCCCGACGUAGUAUCAGAUGGUCCCGUACCUGGUUCCAUGGUUGUUAAUUAGGAUGGAUGCCCACGCCUUGGGCGACUUUUACGAGCGGAUACGGUGCGAACCGAAAUAGCGCAUCCGAUGUUAACGCGCCUACCUUCCUUCGGCGAAUUGCGAAAAGUUAGUAGAAGCUGCACAUUUCGUGACCUGACGAAAUACGUCGCGGAUAAAUAAGAUGCAUCGCUCUGCGAGCCGUUGCAUUGGAGCACGCAUAAAGGAAGAUCAAUGCGACGGCAUUGUCGAGCAGGGAUAUAUACGAGGGAUUUUCACGAAUCGCGAGAUCGACGAGCCGAUUCCAUUCGACAAGGCCCAAAGAGUAACGAGGGAGACGAUAUCCUCCAGUAUGAAAGCGCGUUGGUUGUCUGUAGUAAAUCAACUGUCCUAUUCUAAUCUUUGUUGGCACCAACGAUAACGUCUGGUGGCCGCUGCCUACCUUGCCUCAGGUAUCUAUUCAAAUUAUCGACCACGAAAGUUGUUUUUUUUUUUUAUUAGAACCAAUUCUCUUGCUUCGGAAUCAGCUAUCUAACGUAUGACCUUAUCUUACACGUUUCUAAUACAUGAUAUAACGAAUCUUAUAACCAAAAUUAUAUACAAGUUUGAUUGAAACUGUUAUCUGAUAAGGCGGAUUUUUAUAACACAGACAAACAUGCAGUAUGUGUGAUUUCUGGGUAAAUAGUCCAAUCGAAAGUAACGUUGGUGUUUUACUACGGAAUGAAAUAUUUUUUCAUCGGUUCGUUGGACGACUUGGCCAGAGUUAAAUCGCUCGGAAGAUCGACGAGGCUGCGAGAGUAACGAACGGGGCGAUACCAGGCGUAUUCCUCGAAUGAAAUCGCGUCGCCUGUCCGUAGUAAAUCAACUGUCCUAUUCCAAUCUUUGUUCGCGGUGCUGGCAACAGCCAACGGCAGCCGCCUGCCUGCAGCCGUUGGCUCUAUCUAUCGAUGCAGGAGAGAAGUAAUCUGGUGAGUCGUAAAACGUGUCAGAAUGUCCAACAAACACCUACUCAUUAGCCCAGGUAGGCUGGACCGUGGCAGGCGGGAUUGCACAAGCACGCAUUAACUCCGUGUGGGUAAGUUAUGGUCCAGGGAGAGCAUAAUUCACCCGUAGCCAAGAAAGUGUGGGUUUACUUCUCUCGGACCUGCUUGUGUGAGGGCUUGGCUCCUCGUUAUUUUAUCGGGUGUCGGCGGCCUUCCGAGUCCCCUACCUAAUUGAAAUCCACGAAAUCAAAUUCGGAAAAACCGUCGUGCCGCAACACGUCGAACCUUUUCACAUUGACGAAUAGCUUAUUAUUUAUCGUGAGCAAAGUGACAUUGUAUCAAUCGACAGCGGAAAGUUCCAAGCGGAAAUAUAAUAAGAAAGUCAUUUCAAAUCAAUUUAAAGCACUCUGUAUUAUAACAAUACACGAAAGCCUGUGUAGCUCAACGCAGAAUUUUUUGUUAAACGUAAGUUGUAAAAUUCCAAUCAUAGCGAAGUUGGGUAUAUUAUGUCUUGGAAGUCGGAAGAAAUCGCAUUGAUAAUCUUAUCGCAUGUCACGCAGAGUCACGCUAGUUCGAUUUUGCUUAGAGUAAUGAAAGAUUUGCGUUCAGACACGGGUGAUAAAUCUCCGGAAUCAGGUUCAGCUAGAAAAGAACAGCCGAUCACCGUUGGAUCGGUUUCCAAGAGAUACACGCGUGUAUCUCGUAAGACCCUCUCACCAGGACACCGCGGUGUUCCUGUAACCAACUUGCAUUUCUACACGCGAAGAUGUGCUUGUAGAAUGGAUGGGGAGAGAUGUGCGUUGGUAUUGGUGAAACAGUGCAGGAAGCUGCAACAGCACGGUGGUGCAGCCGCCUCGUACGAGACCAGAUAGACAUCUUCGCCAACUCUCCCGCCGCCGUCUAACUAAUUGGCUACUGAAUUACUGGGCGACAUGACCAGUUAUUGCUUCGUACCUCACCUCGACCGGGUAUAUCGGAUCUUGGAUCUUGCAGUUUGAGGAGUACAGGCCGUAUUCCCGUUCUCUUCCAUCUUGCGCUCUAUCCUUACAUUAAUGACGACUCGUAAUACAGCGUUGAUCUCGAAAUCUCCAUUCGUAAUGGGUCUGCCGAGUCGUUCUCUUUUAGUACAUCGUACAUAUUUAUCUAAGUAUUUGCAUGAGUUAAUUCUUUGUGAUUUUCAUAAUACUUUCAAUCAUUUUUUUCGUUGUUGUAUUUCUCUUCUCUUUUUGUAAUUCUAUUUUGUGUUCUAUGACGAUUAGGCAUUCUUUGAAAAAAUUAUAUUGUAAGGUGGAUAUAGUUUGAAACGUUUGAAAAUAUUUUGUAAACGUUUUAAUGUCUUGUAUGUAUAUUAAAUGCUGGAACAUACAAGUAUCUAAAAUGUGGUGAUGAAUAACGAGUUGUAAGGAAUCUAUCAGUAUCCGAUGCAGACUCGUUGUCUCCUAUGCGAGUGUUUCCGUACAGCGAGUUAAGGUACCGGUACAAACCGAGCUACCCUUGGGUGAUAUAUGACUUUGUGGGUGCUCGUGCGAUACGCUGGCACUAAAAGGCUUAACGAGCAUCUUCGUACGCCACGGCAGUCCAGAGUAAACAGGACGUGGCUUAUCUUGUCACGAAAAAUCUGCGGAGAAAGGCUUCCGCAGGCUGACUCUUAUUUUUCUCUCCCCAUUUUCUCACUCCUUCUUUUUUCAUAAUACCAUGGCAAACAGGCGCGAUGAAUGGUCACGCUGGGGAUUCAGCCUACUUCGAAUUUUUGUUGCGAUGGUCGAUAAAAGUGGCUACGGUUGUGUUAAUGGUUAUGAGAUUUUAAUGUGUAUGCUUAAUGUUUAUCAGUUUCAAAAUACAGGAUUAUUUGAACCCGUUUUUGCAUUCAAAUCACUUUGCAUUUUCACAGUACAUUUUCACAGUAUUUUCUAAAUUUUAAUUGCGUACUCUUAACAGUAACUACUUUGUCUACAUGGGAACAUCGGCUUUGUAGUCUUUCUAACGUUUUGCGUUGUAAUAUUUUGUUAAAAAAUGUAAUAAAAGUUACUAAUAUAUUUAUUGAUACAAAUAACAUUUAUGAGCGCGAUAUGUUUAGUGAUCAAGUAUAUAUUAUCAUCUUUCGCACUCCUAGUUAAUAUGUUUAUAUUAAGUCAAUAUAUUAGACAAAAGGAUUAUGAUAUGACUCGGUUAUUUGACAACGCUGGUAGCGAUAGCUGCAAAGAACUUAUUUGUUGCAAUUCAAAUCAACAUCCAUAUCAUUUCAGGUAACUUCGUUACCUCUCGCAUUUCUCUUUUUUUCCUUCUUCCCUCUCUCCCUCUUUUCCUUUAUCGCAUCUCAAUCAUGGGUCUUUGCAGGAAAUUAUUAAUUCGAACGCUUCAUUAUCUCUUAAUAAAGCAACACGUAUCGCGACGAGUGUUGAAGGAGACGUCGUUAGGCUAAUUACUGCUUUGCCUUGGGUAUCAGACACACGACAUUUCAUGUUACACCUGGUACUUAGUAGCGAUGUAUCGUAAGAUUGGAAAACGAAUGAUUUUUAAAACGUAUAUUUUUACAUAUGUACAUAUAUAUACGUCUAUAAUUUUGAAAACACAGAAUUUAAAUA